rnacentral:rRNA from 1 species
GGGUUGUGAGGUUAAGCGAAUAAGCGUACACGGUGGAUGCCUAGGCAAUCAGAGGCGAUGAAGGACGUGCUAAUCUGCGAAAAGCGUCGGUAAGGUGAUAUGAACCGUUAUACCCGACGAUAUCCGAAUGGGGAAACCCAGUAUCCAAUGGAUACUAUCAUUAACUGAAUCCAUAGGUUAAUGAGGCGAACCGGGAGAACUGAAACAUCUCAGUACCCCGAGGAAAAGAAAUCAACCGAGAUUCCCCUAGUAGCGGCGAGCGAACGGGGAGCAGCCCAGAGUCUUAAUCAAUAGCAGUGUCAGGAGAACGGUCUGGAAAGUCCGGCAGUAAAGGGUGAUAGCCCCGUAUCUGAAGAUGCUGUUAUUGUGAACUCGACGAGUAGGGCGGGACACGUG